GAGCAACACAGAAUUUUCACCCAGGAGGCCGGGUUUAGUGUCCUGUUUUUGUCCCACGUGUCACAGUAGCAUACAUUUUAUAACCCCACCCACGAUAUUUUCCUAAACCUAACUGUCCCAUCUUGUGCCUCAUGUUAGUUAAAC